rnacentral:lncRNA from 1 species
AUACAGUCUGAGCUCUGGAGGCAAAGUGAUACUCAUUUGCUAAACCAGUGAACAACAGAAAAUGCUUGGACAGAAGCCAACGCACAAAAUCACACAUCUGUAUCGAGAUGUAACAGGCAUAAAGGUAACUCAUACUUCAACAGUGACAAGGGUCAGACAGAAAUCUCCAGCCUCCCAGCAUCUACAUAGGAUUACUCCCUUGCUGCAGCAGAACCUGCAAAAGAAAACUGCCUGCACCUCACCCACAUCACUGCAAAUCCCUGAUUUUCAGAGCAAAUGAACCACUACCAUAGAAAUUUAGGCUAAACAGAUAAAAUGAUGAACAUCACUAAGGGCACAGAGUGCUUCUUUCAAGACCUGCAGAAGGAGAGCCUUUGACAGCUCAUGAGGCAAGAACAACCACCAGCAAACUUCUGCAGCUUCAGGAUUGCUGCAAAAUUUUCUGUCUUGUUUUCUGUAUAAAACUGUGUCAUCUGGGGUUGCAGACUAGCACCAAGAAGAAUUCCUGCUCUGCCUCUAAUUGCAUAAAGGUAAAGACGGCUCAAGAAAUCAAGAUUGAAGACUAGACUCAUGCUCUAGUUCACUCCUUUUCUUUUUUGUUGUUGGGUUUUUUUGUUUGUUUUCCCUUCCUCAAGAAAACAAGAGCAAAGUUGUAAGUUUUCCCACAGGGUGUUAAUCUGCAUAGGCAGUUACUUCUUCACAGGCUAAGGAAGGAACUGAAAUGGAAAGAAAAUAAAAUUCCUACUAAAAACUCCAUGAGAAUGACCUGAACUGCUCCUUGCAUAUUAUGUAUAGUUAUGGAAUUUUAGAUAGAACUCUUUAUAAAUAUAUCUGGUGGAAAAAAGUUGAUCAGCACUGCUCAGAAUCAUCAGGGUUCCUGCACUGAGGGCAGAUUUCCUUGGACUGAAAAACAUAGCACUAAACACUGCAAGUUACCAUAAGGGAGUGGGAGGGGUCUGUAUAAUUGUAAUUCUUGCCAGUCAACUGAACAGCCAUCCACCACUCCAGCCCAAAUAUAAAACCCGUCAGAAGGGCACUAAGCAUUCACACAUCAGUUGGCCUUCUGCUUCAAAUGAUACAUGGCUGUAAACAAACAAACAAAAAAAAGUACAUUUGUGUUUUCAGACAAUGCCAAAAAGAAAAAGGAGACUUUUUCAUGUGUUGGCUAAGUUCUCAAUAUGCAAACCAUCAGCCAAACUCGAAUUGUC